rnacentral:rRNA from 1 species
GAUGAACGCUAGCCACAGGCUAACACAUGCAAGUCGAGGGGAAACGGCAUUGAGUGCUUGCACUCUUUGGACGUCGACCGGCGCACGGGUGAGUAACGCGUAUCCAACCUUCCCAUUACUGUGGGAUAACCUGCCGAAAGGCAGACUAAUACCGCAUAGUCUUCGAUGACGGCAUCAGAUUUGAAGUAAAGAUUUAUCGGUAAUGGAUGGGGAUGCGUCUGAUUAGCUUGUUGGCGGGGUAACGGCCCACCAAGGCUACGAUCAGUAGGGGUUCUGAGAGGAAGGUCCCCCACAUUGGAACUGAGACACGGUCCAAACUCCUACGGGAGGCAGCAGUGAGGAAUAUUGGUCAAUGGACGGAAGUCUGAACCAGCCAAGUAGCGUGCAGGAUGACGGCCCUAUGGGUUGUAAACUGCUUUUGUAUGGGGAUAAAGUUAGGGACGUGUCCCUAUUUGCAGGUACCAUACGAAUAAGGACCGGCUAAUUCCGUGCCAGCAGCCGCGGUAAUACGGAAGGUCCAGGCGUUAUCCGGAUUUAUUGGGUUUAAAGGGAGCGUAGGCUGGAGAUUAAGUGUGUUGUGAAAUGUAGACGCUCAACGUCUGAAUUGCAGCGCAUACUGGUUUCCUUGAGUACGCACAACGUUGGCGGAAUUCGUCGUGUAGCGGUGAAAUGCUUAGAUAUGACGAAGAACUCCGAUUGCGAAGGCAGCUGACGGGAGCGCAACUGACGCUUAAGCUCGAAGGUGCGGGUAUCAAACAGG